rnacentral:rRNA from 1 species
AGUUUGAUCAUGGCUCAGAUUGAACGCUGGCGGCAGGCCUAACACAUGCAAGUCGAACGGUAACAGGAAACAGCUUGCUGUUUCGCUGACGAGUGGCGGACGGGGGAGUAAUGUCUGGGAAACUGCCUGAUGGAGGGGGAUAACUACUGGAAACGGUAGCUAAUACCGCAUAACGUCGCAAGACCAAAGAGGGGGACCUUCGGGCCUCUUGCCAUCGGAUGUGCCCAGAUGGGAUUAGCUAGUAGGUGGGGUAACGGCUCACCUAGGCGACGAUCCCUAGCUGGUCUGAGAGGAUGACCAGCCACACUGGAACUGAGACACGGUCCAGACUCCUACGGGAGGCAGCAGUGGGGAAUAUUGCACAAUGGGCGCAAGCCUGAUGCAGCCAUGCCGCGUGUAUGAAGAAGGCCUUCGGGUUGUAAAGUACUUUCAGCGGGGAGGAAGGGAGUAAAGUUAAUACCUUUGCUCAUUGACGUUACCCGCAGAAGAAGCAC